rnacentral:rRNA from 1 species
AUAGAUACCCCACUAUGCUCAGCCGUAAACCUUAACUUACACCCAAAUCGCCAGGGAACUACGAGCUGACGCUUAAAACCCAAAGGACUUGACGGUACCCCACAUCCACCUAGAGGAGCCUGUCCUAUAAUCGAUAACCCCCGUUUAACCUCACCAUUCUUUGCCUAUCAGUCUGUAUACCUCCGUCGUCAGCUUACCACGUGAGCGCAAUUCAGUAAGCGAGAGAGUCUCCGCUAAAACGUCAGGUCAAGGUGCAACUUACAGAAUGGGAAGAGAUGGGCUACACUCUCUAAUUUAGAAUAAACGAAAGACUACUCAUGAAACCUUAGUCAGAAGGCGGAUUUAGAAGUAAACAGAGACAAGAGUGCUCCGUUUAACACGGCCCUGGGGUGUGUACACACCGCCCGUCACCCUCUUCGAAGCACCUAAAUAGUAUUUAACACGAUUUAUGCUAUAAAGAAGAGGCAAGUCGUAACAUGGUAAGCUUACCGGAAGGUGUGCUUGGAAA